rnacentral:lncRNA from 10 species
UUGGACAGUGCAGGUCUAAAAAGAUAGUAAGCAAGUAGAAUUUGUCCUUGGGCUCAAGUGUCUUGUAUACUUAAGAUAAAGUAAAAUUUGCACUGAAGGGAUAACAUGAACAAUUUGCCCUUCUUUAAAGAUUAAAUGCCAUGUUUUGUCAGUUAGAUGCAUAUUUUUCAUAUUUACCACAUCUGAAAUUGGUAUUUUGUAGGUUUUUUUCUUUUGCUCGCU